GCCAAGCCAACUGCUGGAAUGGGUGGAAAGGCUUUUGCUGACUGGCUGAGGUGAAGGAAAGAAUCUAGUUGUAUCUCUGGGACUUGAGCUAAUCAAGUUGGAGGUAUUUUGACUCAACAUGUGCAAAAUUGAUUUCAUUGUCCUUCAAGACCAUUCCUUUUCCUAAUUUCAGUAUUUCUAUCCAAGAUGACCUUCCUCUAGUUAUAUUAAAGGCCACCUCCCCUCCAAUCACUGUCAUUACCUGUGGACUUGGGAGAUCACUAAGUUUUUUUCAUGAACUAGAAAAUUAGGCAACUUUUCACAUUUGCAUUCUCAUACCAAAACCACAAGGAAGUGAAGACAUGAUUAAAUUAUGAAGAGAAUGAGCAGGCUGUGUAUAAAAGAGAACCUAGUAUGGAAGACUGAAUUUUGAUUGCACUUUUUAAUUGGCAGAGCAUCAUUUAUUAUGCAAGAAGCCUUUUGUUUUCUCAGUUGGUGGGUUCA
rnacentral:lncRNA from 1 species